rnacentral:tRNA from 1 species
AGCUAAUUAGCUUAUAGUAAAGCAUUUACUUUGAAAGUAUAAGAAAGAGAUUUAAAUUUAUUAGCUU